CACCACGCAUUUGCCCUGGCCCGCCGUCCUCUCCGUGGUGUCCGCGCCGGCUCGCCCCGGUAGCCGCGCACGCGUAGCAACUUCCGCCUCCACCGCGAGGUACCAACCGCCAUGGCGCCCCUGCCCCCAUGCCGCCCGGCCUCCCUCGCCGGCGCCCCCACCUAGUGCGGCCUCAUGUGCCCCCACAUCACACCCAGCGCCGCUUUCCCAUGUCGUGUUUCCUGAUUGGAGAGGUCAAGGUGGAUUGUAGCGGCGGUGCGGUCGAUUGUGGCGGCUAUGCGGUGAAGGAGAGGGGAGAUCCAAAUGCGGUCCAUGUAAGGAAGCAGAGGAGGAACGCGCAUUCUUCAACCUCUGUUGUCAUCUUCAAGAUGCCACGCCGGCGGCCGGCCGAAGCAUCUGCUUUGUUCGUGUGUCCUUCCUCCAGGCGGCCAAAGAGGUUCUUCUUCCCCUUCCCGGAUCUGUCUCCGUCGCAGAAGCUCUUCCCACGGAGGCGAUACCAGGAGGAGAGGAGCCGUUCUGGAUAUGAGGAGGACGCACGUGUCGGCCAUGCCAUUGGGCGGAGGUAAGAGACUGAUUGGUCUCAAAUGGUUUCGAUCCAUGGAUGGAAACCAAAUCGUCAGACCACUCCUGCAGCUUGUCGUCGCAGAAGAGCACGUCCACGAGAUUGUCAAUGAACCCAUCCACAAAGGAGUUGCAGCGAGUGCCAGCAUCUGGCUUAUCGUGCCAUGUGCUGGAGACCCAUGGCCUCUCCCCGCAGCUGCUUCUGCAGGCUGCCGCUGGCACUGUACGAGUAAGACCAGAGCAUGGAGAGACACGUGGCGGCAUGGGGUUGUAGCACGACCUUGUCACGCCUCGGCUACUUCUGAUGCCGCUGAUCGCUCUCGCCGCGGCCACCACAGUUGAACUCACUGAUGGAUAUCACGGGAGACUUUGAUGAGGUGGAAGCUGUUGGGUUCUUGGUGUAAAUAAACAGUGAAUACUGAACGCCAAUGCCCCUCUGAUACCAUAUUUAUCGAGGAGUAUGUUCAUGUGAUCCAGUAUGGUAUCAUCGACCCUGUGAGAGUGAUCCAAACUGCACUUCAAGAUGCAGCAAGGUACAACUUCAGUUUUCUAACCAUGUACUUUUUGUAUGACAGAAGUAAUCAGACUUAUUUGACCAUUUCUGUUUCUGUACAAUGUUUAUCUGCUGAUCACAACCAUGGAGGCUGUAGAUGAGCGAAAUGGGUUUUGAGGACAGUGCGGCAUGAUGUCUGCACUUAUAAAAAAAAUUGCAUACAACAGAAGGCGUGCCUCCUAUGACCAGGUCUAAGAAAUACAAGCAUAGUUCAAAGUAAACUGACCAGAAAACUAAGAUUAUCUAUAAAUAAGGGUAGAGCCAUGGAUUACAUGAUUUCUUUUCAAAACACAACAUAAGAUGUAACUGCGCAAACUGCUUAUGCAAUAUAUUCAGGUUGGUGGAAGUCUUGAACUUCAUAUUCAUAUUAACCUAUCUAUUUGUUUA